rnacentral:tRNA from 1 species
GACUCAAUGGUCCGAUGGUAAAGCGUUCGCCGCGUAGCCAGAGGGUUUUGGGUUCGAUUCCCGAUGGGGUCG